ACAGAGGAAUAGCACAUGACUGCGCUCCCACAUAUAACCAGACACGAACCUCCCCAGCCGAUGAAAAGAGCUGCACCGAACUCAAACCUGAGAAAAAUAAAAACGGUGAGGUUUCUACGAUUUUUUAUGUCAAAAUACAUUCUCUUAACCCAGUUAAUUAUUCUUUGACUACUUUAAGUAUGCCAUUCAGGGCCCAGGGGGCUUUAUCUACCCCUAAAAUACUAGUAAAGUCUCCCCCCUGAUAGCACACGUACAUCUCUGAGACGUCUAUUUGAUGUCUGCAUUUACAUCUGCAAGAUGUAUUUUUUAGGCUGUUUGCUCAUCUGCAAUACGUCUAUAGGACGUCUCCUUUUAGAUGUCAAAUAGACGUCUAUUAGAUGUCUUUAAGAUGUUUAUGAUUUAGAGUGUAUGUAAAACUGACAUCUUACAGACGUCUGUCAGACGUUUAUAGACAGCAGAUGCUUUCCAGAUCAACAGAUCUUUAACAGACAUCUUGCAGACGUACGUGUGCUAUCUGGGCCAGGACUCAUUUAGAGCGGUCUGCUCUGAUAACGUCAAUCUCUUCCAGCUCAACCAAUAGCGAGAGUUUGGGGCGUGGCAACUGUAGCUGACUGACAGGGUUGCCAAAUUCAUAGGUUUUCCCCUGAACUGGGCUAAUUUAAAUUUUUCCUGCGGGACAGUACAUUGACGCGGGGCGUCAGCAUCGACGCUUGAUGGAGGGCGUGUCUGAAGCUUGGUGCUGACGCGACGUCAUAGUGACAACAGCCAAGUAAUGGGUUUUAUUGUUUUUGUGUCGUCGCGCCAGGACACGGCAUCACAACAUGGUAAGGGGUAACAUUUCCGUCACACGCUUGAGGUAUUCGGCCAAUCACAACGCACUGGAUAGCUGGCCAAUCAGAGCACACAUCGCUUCUCAGAACGAAGAGCUUUGUAAAAAUCUGCGCGUUUCAGAAAGGCGGGGCUUAGAGCAGCCUAAAAAAAAACAGGAGCCUUAUUUGAGCUGUGUUUAUGAUCACUACAAUAUACUGGUUUUCAAUUUGCAUAACAUUAACUGUUAAAUAUGUACAUUAUGGUAUGGUAAUUGCAUAGUUUUGAUAUUUGGGAUAUGGUCAUUGGGCUACCUUUGGGCUCUUUUGAUUGGCCAUUGGGCUAGUUUUGUUACGCAGACCUGGCAACCCUGCUGGCUAAGCCAGAACGUGUUUAGUCUGGGUGGGACUAUAGCAAAGUCUUUGACUAUAGCUAACAUGUUAUGGGAAAAGAAACUUGGUUACAGAAGUGAAAACCAAAAUUAGACUUACCAAAAUAAGCAGAGACAGACAACUUAGGAAAACAAGGGUAAAUAAUGGCAGUGCUUUUACAAGAUGGAGGAAUUUUAAGAAAUAUUAUGAUGAACUCGCGGAGUUUCUUCACGACAGGAUCUACAUUGUACAAUAAAAGACUGUUUCCAUCACCAAAGAAAAGAUGCCUCCUGUGAACAUGGAUCGGUUCUUCUCUUUGUCUUUUCCUCCGAUGUAAGUGCAUUCCAUUCCCACGAGACUCAGGAUGAAGGCCAGCACUCCAACAGCCAUCCCAGACAUGAGCAGAGCCCUCACGAUCUGAAGAUAACCUGAACAUACAAGAUCCAAAUACCACAGCACGGGGAAGUCGUAGCAGUUGGAUGUAGAGGAGGAGUCCGUGAAGCAGGCCCUCCACAGACUGGACCAGUACCAGCCCACCUUUAUGACGGCGCUCCCACCUUGCCCUCCGAUAGAGGAGAUCUUCCAG